UGUUAGAACACAUCAAUUAACGAUGAAUCUGCGAAAGGCUCAUUAAAACAGCUAUAAUUUACUCGAUUUUGACUAUCUAAACGGAUAACUGCGAAAAAUUUGGAGCUAAUACGUGCACCUAAGCAAGAUCCUCUGGAGCUUGCGCACUUAUUAGAUGAAGACCAAUCAGGGCAACCUGUUUUGGUGACUCUGAAUAAUUUCGCUGAUCGCAUGGUCUUGUACCGGCGACGGAUCGAUCGAGUUUCUGCCCUAUCAACUGUCGAUGGAAGUCCAUGUGACUGCCAUGGUUGUAACGGGUAACGGAGGAUCAGGGUUCGACUCCGGAGAGGGAGCCUGAGAAACGGCUACCACAUCCAAGGAAGGCAGCAGGCGCGUAAAUUACCCACUCUCAAUUCGAGGAGGUAGUGACUAUCAAUAACGAGACAGAUCUCUAUGAGGCCUGUUAUCGGAAUGGAUACAAUAUAAAUCCUUUAAUGAGGAACUAUGAGAGGGCAAGUCUGGUGCCAGCAGCCGCGGUAAUUCCAGCUCUCAAAGUGUAUAUCGUCCUUGCUGCGGUUAAAAAGCUCGUAGUUGGACCUGAGCUCGUGGACGUGGUACUCCAUGUGAGUAACUGCGCUCCUGAGCUGUUGUACCGGUUUUCCAUGGUUUGCUUUAAUCGGCAGGCUGUGGUGGCUGGUGUGUUUACCUUGAAUAAAUCAAAAUGCUCAAGAUAGGCGUCUCGCCUGAAUGACAGUGCAUGGAAUAAUGGAAUAAGACUUCGGUUUAUUCUGUUGGUCUUGGAACCGAUGUAAUGGUUAAGAGGGACUGACGGGGGCAUUUGUAUCGAUGCGUGAGAGGUGAAAUUCUUGGACCGCAUCGAGACAAACUACUGCGAAAGCAUUUGCCAAGAAUGUCUUCAUUAAUCAAGAACGAAAGUCAGAGGAUCGAAGGCGAUUAGAUACCGCCCUAGUUCUGACCGUAAACGAUGCCAACUAGCGAUCAGGCGGUGGCUAUUAAACCCUGCCUGGGAGCUUCCCGGAAACGAAAGUCUUCGGGUUCCGGGGGUAGUAUGGUUGCAAAGCUGAAACUUAAAGGAAUUGACGGAAGGGCACCACCAGGAGUGGAGCCUGCGGCUUAAUUUGACUCAACACGGGAAAACUCACCCGGCCCGGACACUGUAAUGAUUGACAGAUUGAGAGUUCUUUCUUGAUUCGGUGGUUGGUGGUGCAUGGCCGUUCUUAGUUGGUGGAGUGAUUUGUCUGGUUUAUUCCGAUAACGAACGAGACUCUAACCUGCUAAAUAGUUCUGCAGUAGCUUCGCUGCAGCAACUUCUUAGAGGGAUCAGUGGUGUUUAGCCACACGAAAUUGAGCAAUAACAGGUCUGUGAUGCCCUUAGAUGUUCGGGGCUGCACGCGCGCUACAAUGGAAGGAUCAGCGUGCCUCUUCCUUGGUCGAAAGACCUCGGUAAACAUGUUAAAACCUUUCGUGAUCGGGCUAGUGGAUUGCAAUUAUUCCACUUCAACGAGGAAUUCCCAGUAAGUGUGAGUCAUCAGCUCACGUUGAUUACGUCCCUGCCCUUUGUACACACCGCCCGUCGCUGCCCGGGACUGAGUUGCUUCGAGAAGUGUGGGGACCGUUGUUAUUGGGCUUCGGCUUGAUGACGAUGGAAACCGCAUUAAUCGCAGUGGCUUGAACCGGGCAAAGUUCGUAAA
rnacentral:rRNA from 1 species